rnacentral:lncRNA from 1 species
UCAAAAUCAAUAUCAUUCUACAAUGUCAUUGGUCUUAAUGACCUACACGAUUGUGCACCAGUAAUGUGUAAAUAAACUUAGGUAUGUUGUUAUUUUGGGGACCACAACUUUAUGAUGUUGCCACGUAUACAAAGAUAAAAGAAAUAAACACCACCCAUAGUGAGUUCGAAGGCCCUUAAAAAAACCAGUUUUCUAGUAAUAGACCAUCCAAUAACCAUAAAAAAUGGGACAAAUCAUAGCUGGGGUAAAAUGGUCCAAAAUACAAAGAAUUCUGAAAAUGCUUAUUCCAAUACCUCUUCAUUAUGCAGUAAUCCAUAAGUACUAAUCCAUCAGAUCAAUGUUCACUUCUUUUGGAUAACCUGUCAGAAAUUGAUAUCAUAACACCAUCUUCAUCACCACUUAUGUGACAUUUGCUUAAUAUGGAUACUACAAAACAAAAAAUAAAAAAUCAAUCAAGUAAAAAAGGAAGUUAGAAAAGUUGACCCCUUAGCUUGCAUGUAGAGUAGUAACCCAAAACCAACCAUAACAUCAUAGAUUUCUCUAUAGCAUCUUUUAACACUCAGUAAAUGCAAUAAGAUGUAAAACAGCGAUUGAAGUUAUCCAUACCCAUUCUGAGGGUAAAAUAGUCCAGAUUACCCCAUUAGGCUUUAAUGACCAGACCACGAAACCAUGAAACCAGAAGACAGAUGCGAUACUGUCUUCAUCUACAUCACAAAUAUUAAAGUGGAUAGAAAAAAAAACAAACAUAUAAUAGAAAAUUAGAUCCAGAUCUAAAACCAUUUCAGCAUGUUAGGUGAAACAUCAAGUCCAUUUUCUACCCUAUGAUACAACAUUAUCAAACUAUGUAUGCUAUGUAUCUCAUGCCCCAUUAUGCAACACUAUAAAAAUCAAAAUAUGAAUGUUAAAAUAAGUUUGUNUAUAUAUAUAUAUAUAUAUAUAUAUAUAUAUAGACACACACACACACAUAUCCAUGUAAAAAGCUUACAUAGACCAAUUUGGGACAGUGUAAGACCUUACCUUACAAACAUGUUGGGGAUAUCUAAUCUCAGAUCAAGUAUUGUAUUUGAACUGCAAAAAGAAGAAUUGAAAUCUUGGUUGGUCAGAGUUGAAAUCAUCACCAAAUAAACAAUAUUGCCAAUAAUGAAAGAAAAACAACUCCAGUUUGUUCAAAACUUUAUUAGCAAAAUGUGCUUGUUCAAGUUGGAAGCAUUAAUUUUUAUAACAUACAUAAUAUUCAUAGAGUGACAGCAAAUGCAAGAAUCUUUCGAGUUAUAAUCUCAGAAACCAACAACUAUAUAGUCUCCUUUCAUCCUAAUCUAAUACAUUUUCACAUACUUGUUCUACAACCAUUGUCAGUCAAUCCAUCAGAGCAUUGUUUGGCAGACUUGUAUUUGGUCCGAAGUUAACAAACAAUAAUAAAAUUAGUAAAUUAUUAAAAGGGUAAAAUGGUAAAUGCAAAUAUAAAAACGACCUUGGGAUGGUAAAUGUUUCAAAAAGGGUAAAAAGGUAAAUACAUAUAUAAUCCCUAUUGCACUAUAAUUAGGAGCUUAAACUUGCAACCAAUGAAAGAUGAUUACCAAUCAUAUAUACGCAUGUUGUUCCUCUUGGGGUUGAAAAUACUUCAGACUUCCUUUGUGGCUGACUAAAUAAUAACCAUUGAUCAAUCACAUACAUAUAUACAUAUUAGAUCACACACACAUCUGAAACCCUCAAAAGAGUCCAGAUCAGAUAUGGUUUGUCAAAUUGUAGGUUGAAAUCAUCUCAUCCAAACCACGAAAAACCAAAAAAUAUAUAACAUGAAAGAGAUAUACAAUGAAUCAGAAACCAGAAAACACCAUCUAGUUGUCUUUAUAAUUUGGAAUUUACUUUUUUUUUACAUAAAAUCAAAUUAAAACUCAAUAAAUUAAGGGUUAAAAUAUAAGAAAACACUUGCAUAAGUUAAUUCUAUAAAUAAAAGAUAUAACAUGUAAAAGUGAAACAAAUAGAAGAAAAGGUUGAUUGUAACCACCUUUCAAGAUUUCAUCUUUAGGACAUUCGUGGAGCCUGUUGUGCCAAAAUCAAACACCUACAGCAGCUGAAAGAUAAUGUAUUCAGAACCAUAAUGUCAAGACUGUUACAUGUCGAAGGUGAAUUGUAGGGGUUCUAGUAUAAGAGCAUGAAUAUAUUCAAAGAAGUACAAUAAUCUCAAUCAAAUCUUCAGAAUUUCCUCUAGGCCUGCCAUGUGCACCUCAAAUUGUCUAUCUUGGAAAUCAAUUAAGAUAUGGCCUAAAAUUUGUAUCUUUAUUUAAAAAAAUACAUUGGUGUGAUAACUUCAACAAUAAAAAGAGUUCGAUAUUCCUGCAUAUAUUGGGUUAAAUGUUUAAAAUGUUUACCUUUAGCAUGCCCUGUAAGUUAAGUAAACUAAUUCCGUUUGAUUUGAAGUUACUGAUCAGAACCACCACCAUGUCUACUCAAUACACAGUUUUCUAAAAAAGAAACUCUUAACUUGAGAGUACCUGUGUAAAUGAAAGUAAUAAUCCAGAGUAAAUAAGUUAUGAGAAUUACGGGAGAGUAAGUUGUGCAUCGAUCGAUGUCAAUAUGAGAGAUUUAUGAAUUAAUGUCAACAACCCAUUAUAGCGUGAUGUACUUUCAAAGCACAACAACGUAAAAAAGAAAUGAGGAAAUGAUACACAGAGUAAGAUGCAUGAAAAAAUGGCCCAACCAAAACAGGUGUGAACAAACCAUUCGUCAAAAUUAGCCAAGACUACAGGUUUAACCUGGACAAAAAUACUAUGAUUAGCGAUAAAAUCUAGAACAAAGAGAGAGGGAAAAAGAUAGAUAAAUAUGGGGGUAUACUGUGGUGGCUUACGAUGAAUCGUGAUUGUGAUGGUCGAUGGCUGAGCGUGUGAUGCCUUACGAUGGCCUCUGAUCAAAAAGUUUGAAGAUUUUGGUGGCUAGUGAGAGGUUGAUGUAUUUUUUUGUUCAGUGAGUAAGUGUGUUUGUGUUUAUAUCUAUGUCGUGGUAGAGGCCGGUCAUUGGAGACAACAGACGGCGGUGGGGGAAGCAUUAGGUCGGCAAUUCGAUGGAAGUGGUAAACAAUGGAGGCGAAAAAUAGUAGUUGAGAACUUACGGUUUCAGUGAGAGAGUAAGGCAGAGAAGGAGAACCGCUUUUGGAGAGAGUGUGAUAGGGUUUUGAUAAGUGGUGGGUGGUGGCCGUCGUUAGGUUAGAUUUGGGGAGUUUUGGUGGUAGCAAUAAUCAAUGAAUGUUGAAAGGUUCGAUGGUGUUCUUCCAAAUACAUAGCUUGUAACUCGAAGAUGUGGAGGCUUUAACUAUGUUGGAUGUGGGUAGAUGAAGGGACAAAGAUACAGAGAGCAUAUCAAAUCAGAAUAUUGAAACUGUGAAGUGGGGGUUAAAUGGCGGUGGUGACAACGACGAAUUCACCCAUAUUUUAAGCAACAAAUUAGGGAUAUG